ACACACAGAGAACCUGCUGUGAAGAUGAUGAGAAUUGUCUCAAAGCAAGAUACAAACCUGCAGCUAUGAGAUGCCACGGUGAAUACAGAAAAUAACGGAGAAUCUCUGAACCAAAGUUGGAUUUGAUGUAUGUCCAGUCACCUUACUAAAGCCAGCCUGUGUGCCUCUGUAGCAGCACCUCUGCAGGGCUGCUCCGUGUUUGCAUUACAGAGCCUGCGUGUCAGGGCUGUGCUGUUGGGUAACCCAAACCACAUCAAGGAAAAGGGUUUCAAAGCCGCUGCCUUUAAGCUUCAAAAAGGCCUUUGGAGAUCACAGCGGCGCUGUGUCAUUGGCAGUGUGUCAGCAGCCAAAGGGGAGGAAGAAGUUGGCUUUGAGGGCAGAGAGCAGCAGAAAAUGGCAGCAGUUACACCGUCCUUGGGGAAUAUCUGCCCUCUCCUUGGCACAUCCAGAAGUGCUGCUAUGGGGAGUGAGCAGUGGGGCUCAGUUCACAGAGGGUAUUAUUGCAGAACUGCAAAUAGAAUUUCCCCCCUACGACCUCUGACCAUCCGGUGGGGAGGCCAGCAGGCAGCUGUGAGGGGUGGCACAACCUGAGUUGGAGAUUGGAAGACCUCAUUAAACGUGCAAACCUAAUGAAAAGCCUCGUUAAAAGCCACCAGGCUUGCAAAAGGGCUUGAGCUCGGUGCUGGCACAGCUGGUGCUCGUUGGGGCCACAGGUGAGGCUGUGCCCCUCCUCCUCGUUUUAAACACGUGCUCCUAUUUAAUGCUCCUCAGAAACAGCAGCUUGGGCACAAGGCAGGGUUCUUCCUUCUUUCUUUAGUAGAAUUUAGUGCUCUAUAUAUAAAAAAAGAAUAGUACAGCAUUUAUUAUCUAUCCUCCUGAGUGGUAGAGGAUCAAGAAGCAAGAUGGGCAGUGCUGGCAGCCUUGGGAUUCAGGUGGAGCAGCAGCACAGGUCAGACGUGGUAGAGGGAGAAGAGUUGGUGCCCGUCUCUGUUGUGAAGACAACACGGAGAUGAGCUUCCUGGGUGCUCCAGCAGAGCAGCGUGGUGCUGCUGGGGGGUAAUUAACCAAGCCCAGCACCAAGAUACUAUAGACACAACCAUUUUAAGGGCUGUUGAAGAGCUGUUGGCCAAAACAGACAGCCCUCUGCAGCAGGGGAAGCACUGUGAAUGGCUUUGUAGGCUAGACCAGGGAUGCUGGGCAUCAGCUGUACAGAGCAGAUCUCAACGUUUUAUUAAACAUUGGCAUUUAUUU
rnacentral:lncRNA from 7 species